rnacentral:rRNA from 1 species
UGGGGAAUAUUGCACAAUGGGCGAAAGCCUGAUGCAGCAACGCCGCGUGAGGGACGACGGCCUUCGGGUUGUAAACCUCUUUUAGCAAGGAAGAAGCGAAAGUGACGGUACUUGCAGAAAAAGCGCCGGCUAACUACGUGCCAGCAGCCGCGGUAAUACGUAGGGCGCAAGCGUUAUCCGGAAUUAUUGGGCGUAAAGAGCUCGUAGGCGGUUUGUCGCGUCUGCUGUGAAAACCCGAGGCUCAACCUCGGGCCUGCAGUGGGUACGGGCAGACUAGAGUGCGGUAGGGGAGAUUGGAACUCCUGGUGUAGCGGUGGAAUGCGCAGAUAUCAGGAAGAACACCGAUGGCGAAGGCAGAUCUCUGGGCCGUAACUGACGCUGAGGAGCGAAAGGGUGGGGAGCAAAACAGGCUUAGAUACCCUGGUAGUCCACCCCGUAAACGUUGGGAACUAGUUGUGGGGUCCAUUCCACGGAUUCCGUGACGCAGCUAACGCAUUAAGUUCCCCGCCUGGGGAGUACGGCCGCAAGGCUAAAACUCAAAUGAAUUGACGGGGUCAUAGCUGUUUCCU